UUGGGCUUUGUUUGCUUAGCUUCGAUGAGACACUGUAGUUAACGGCUCGUUCCCUGGUUCGCUUCAUCUGCCACGCGAGUCGCCGGCUGCGGUGUCUCAGAACGAAUUUCUUCCCCGUCCGUCCAGACAUCUUUUCGCCAUCAUUGGUAUUGUUGACAACAGAUCUUGCGGAUUCCUUUCGCUAGGAACUCAAAGGUUUCUUAACAUCCCUCAUGGUUCCAGGAAGUCCGCUACUUUGAACAAGAACAAAUGGAGAAAAUGAUCAAGAGAGCAAAUGGAAAUAUGGGGCCGGCACACACAGAAACUAAAUUACAGUAGAUUUCUUAUUUACAGUGAUGAAGGAUAAUACACAUGCAGAAAGCAAAAUAUACAAAUAGCUUGUCGAGCCUGAGGAAGUUUUCUCCCUUUAUGAAACUCUCUAAGGAGUAGACAUCAUCCGUAAUGCCAUCUUCACAAUGAGUGAAGUAAACCUCUGGCAUGUGUGAAUCCUUCCAAUUAUCUUCACCACCAAAAAGAUGA